rnacentral:sRNA from 1 species
ACGCACAAUGGUAAAAUUAGAUAUAUUUUACCAUAAUUACAUUAAUUUAAUUAUCAAAAAGGAAUUAUGAUAAAUC